CUUUACUACAGCUUAGGUUUAGCUCAGAAGAUGAAUUCAGUGUAUCCAAGGAGUUUGUGGAAACCAUUCAGCCCUCUGGACUGCAUGAGACCCACAGCGACGACAAAAGCAGCAUUUGGUGGAAGUCUUGAGGCUCAGGGAGGUUGCUUGGAGAUCACGGGAUAGGUGUGUACAAAGGAACUCUGGAUGGAAGGAGUCUAGAAGGGCAAGAAUGCCUGCAAGGACUAAACCCAAAGGACCAGGGCAGCGGAAGUUUUUGUAGGUUACCUGGAAUUAGGCAGGAUCAGCUGAUGAUUUUUCUGCUCCACCUGAUAUUGACAGAAGUCAUUUGGUGUUCAUCUGCUGGCUGAUUAAGAGAAUCCAAGAUGGCAUCACCCACAUUUCUAGGGCCUUGUGGAAUGGCUUGAAGGCUGGACUGAGCAGAGACUGUCCCUUGAAUGCUUCCAUGUGACCUGCUAAACAUGUAGCUGUGGAGUACAUGGCACCCCAGGACUCUAAAACGUCCUGCAACUUAUCCAUCUAAGCUACAGAAGAUGAAGUAGCUCCAGAUUUACUCAACUCCAAGGACAUGGGCCUCAGGAGCCCUGAUCUAAGAAAUUUGGUGACCCUGAAGGAGCCAUGCCAGAGAGCCAUAUGCCACAACCCCGCUGGGGAUGGAUGGAGAGAGAGGCUGAGGGCACCCCAGCUGCUCCAGCUCCUGCUGUGUGUCUGCCCAGCCCAGGUACCAGACAUGUGCAUCCAGAAGACUUCAGAAUGAGCCUAGCUCAGGCCAACUGACCUCAGUCUCUUGAGAGACUCUAAGUCAGCACGCCCGCUCUCCAAUUCCUGACCCACAAAACCCAUGAGCGCUAAUGAAUAACCGUUGCUGCCUUAAGCCACUAAAUUUUGGGCUGAUUUGUUAUGCUUUGAGAGAUACUGGAGACGAAUGUUAUCAACUAAUAACUCUGUAAUAGGCCCUUGUCAUCUCAGCUUACAAAUGGUGACACUAAGGUUUUGAGAACUUAAGAAGCAUGUAAGUUGCCACGAGGAGAUGCAGAGCUGAGCCACAAACGUGGGUCCCCGUGACUCCAGAGUCUGUGCUGGAUCCUCCGCAUGGGAGCCGCCGCAUCUGAUGCUGCAGGAGGUUGGAAAAAAUGGGACAAUAAGGGAGCCAUUAACUAAGAAAGAGAAACCCAAUGAAAAGCAAAAGAGUCUCUGUCUUCCUGGUACCUCUCCACCCACUUUGGAAACUUCUGCGACUAUGCCAAUGACAAAUCCAGCAAGGUUUAAAGUGGUUCCAUCACCAACUGAGAGUCCCACUGUUGGAAUAAUGCAUGUGAGAUGCUGUAUCCUUUGUAGUGCAUCAGUCACAUCAGGAGGCACAAGAUGAUGAUGAUAAUGUCUCAUUAUCGAUGCUGGUCAUUUCCAUGUGUUGACAGCCUCCCCGAUUUCUUCCAUUUAGAGGAGCCUCAUGUUGUGUCAAAGGCUGAGAAAGACCUAUCUGUGAGAGAUUUGUGGCCACAGCUUUUUGUCUAAUGGAGUACAUUACAAAUCAAUACUCAAAAUGUUCCCAAAGUUUUUGAAAGAGUUGUAUCACUUGGACUAAAAGCAAAGAAACAGCACAAAAUGAAAGAAGACCUUUGAACCCCUCACUGGAGAAAACCACUCGGCUGCAGAUGUAGGCCAAACUCAGGCCACGGAAUGAGACCUCAGAGGGAGGAGAAUAAAGAAACAGAGGACAGAGUGGCAGAGCUGAGCCCUAAUCAGGAACUGGCAGCAUAGGCCACCUGGGUUUCAGAACCAUUUUGGACCCCAUGACAUGGAGUAUCUCUUGUUCCCCUGUAGGUCCACAGGGAUUAGGCCCCACCACUGCCUUUGGGGUGGGGGCUGAUCACUUAGCUCACUGGGGUGUAGACUAGAGAGUGGGACUCAGCUGCUGCCCUGAACAACUCUACACACCUAGACCUGGCUUGACUGCCUGGAACUGGGGUCAGGAUGGGAUGGGGCUCGGUGGUCUUGGGAGAGGGGAUGAGGAUAUUUUGUAAAUGGGAAGACCGUGAAGUAUUGUGGUCUGAGGGUGAACUGCAAUGACUGUAUUUUUCCAAAGAUGGCCACAAAAACAUUUCCUACUUUCCUACAACGUGAUCUCAACACCUCUCCCUUAGAAGGGGAAGAUCUCAGUUUGGGCUAAUACAUAACCCAUAGCAGAAGUGAGGCUAGAUCAUAAAUGCCGGUACAGCAUCCUGUCUGGUUCUCUUGUGAGGCUCACUCUUAAAACCCAGGCACCUCGCACUGACAGCCAAGCAGCCACAGAGCAGGGCCAUGGGUGGGGGUUCCAGCCAACUGCCCCAGGUGAGAAUCCAGCCAGCAGCCAAUAUUGACCACCAGGCACGUGAGGAGUGAGACUUUGAAGAUUCCAGUUUCCUAAGGUCAACUAACCUAGAAGCUUCGAGUCUUCCCAGCAGAGUCCAGACAUUGUAGCACAGAGACAAGCUGUCCCUCUCUGAACUCCUGACCCACAGAACCUGUGGGCAUCAUACAUGUUUUUGUUUUGCUUUGUCAUAGGUUUGGAGUGGUUUUGAACCCCAGCAAUAGUAAUGGAAACAUUGAAUAGAGUUUGCGCCCCACCACGGACUAUGUUAGCCUGUUUCUCACUCUUGUCAUUCCCAUUGCCUCCAAAUAGAAGCCAUUUUCAAAAGUUGAUGUGGGAGAUCUUUCAUUUUUAGUAAACAGAAACAAGAAACUGAGUGUUCAAGAGAUGACGCAGGGUGCCAGGUAUUGUCUGAAGGAAAAAAGUGCUUGGAAAUUUAACAAUGCCAAAAGCGUCAGUCCUGUUCCAAAACAGACUCCGUGAGUUUAUAUGGAACAUUGUCAUGCAUCAAGGGACACAGGAGACUGCCUAUGACAAUAGGUCAGCAUUUCUUCUUGUGUCCAGCUGCCCAUUUUUCUUUCUGUGCUCUACUUCAGCUUCUCAAGGAGGAAUAGGAUUUUUUUCUAGGUAAUUAUCAUUGUCCCCCCAGGACCUCAAAAUGAUUUUAUUUGGAAGUAGGGCCUUUAAAGGUGUAAAUAGCCAAUAUGGCUAGAGUCCUUAUAAGGGGAAAUUGCACACACAGUGGGAAAUGCCAGGGAUACAGCACAGAGGAAAGGUCAUGAGAGGGCACAGCAAGUAGGCAGCUGCUGCAAGCUGAGGAUGGAGUCCUUAGAAGAAAUCAAACCUGCUGACACCUUGAUCUUGAUGUCUAUGCUUCAAAAAUUCCUUAAAGCGAAGUAAUCUCCCUUGCAAAGAAUAGAAGUACUCAAAUAGAAAGAUGUGAAUAAAAAAAAUACACACAUAA